UACGUAGGCAGCAAGCGUUGUUCGGAAUUACUGGGCGUAAAGAGCGUGUAGGCGGUGCUCUAAGUUCGUUGUGAAAUCUCCCGGCUUAACUGGGAGGGUGCGGCGGAAACUGGAGUGCUUGAGCGCGGGAGAGGAAAGCGGAAUUCCUGGUGUAGCGGUGAAAUGCGUAGAUAUCAGGAGGAACACCUGUGGUGUAGACGGCUUUCUGGACCGUAGCUGACGCUGAGACACGAAAGCGUGGGUAGCAAACAGG
rnacentral:rRNA from 1 species